rnacentral:misc_RNA from 1 species
UUUCCGUAGGUGAACCUGCGGAAGGAUCAUUCAUAAUAAGUGUUCUAUGGCACUUUUUUAAAUCCAUAUCCACCUUGUGUGCAAUGUCAGGGUUGAUUUUUCUCUCGAGAGGAUCAACCCCAAACAUCAACUAUAUCUCAACUCUUUGUCUGAAAAAUAUUAUGAAUAAAACAAUUCAUAAUACAACUUUCAACAACGGAUCUCUUGGCUCUC